GACGAACGCUGGCGGCGUGCUUAACACAUGCAAGUCGAACGGUGAAGCGAGUGCUUGCACUCGUGGAUCAGUGGCGAACGGGUGAGUAACACGUGAGUAACCUGCCCAUCACUCUGGGAUAAGCACUGGAAACGGUGUCUAAUACUGGAUACGACCAACCCUUGCAUGGGGUGUUGGUGGAAAGAUUUAUCGGUGAUGGAUGGACUCGCGGCCUAUCAGCUUGUUGGCGGGGUAAUGGCCCACCAAGGCGACGACGGGUAGCCGGCCUGAGAGGGUGACCGGCCACACUGGGACUGAGACACGGCCCAGACUCCUACGGGAGGCAGCAGUGGGGAAUAUUGCACAAUAGGCGAAAGCCUGAUGCAGCGACGCCGCGUGAGGGAUGACGGCCUUCGGGUUGUAAACCUCUUUCAGCAGGGAAGAAGCGAAAGUGACGGUACCUGCAGAAGAAGCACCGGCUAACUACGUG
rnacentral:rRNA from 1 species